UACGAGGGGAGCAAGCGUUGUUCGGAUUUACUGGGCGUAAAGGGCGCGUAGGCGGCGUGACAAGUCACUUGUGAAAUCUCCGGGCUUAACUCGGAAAGGUCAACUGAUACUGUGCGACUAGAGUGCGGAAGGGGCAACUGGAAUUCUCGGUGUAGCGGUGAAAUGCGUAGAUAUCGAGAGGAACACCUGCGGCGAAGGCGGGUUGCUGGGCCGACACUGACGCUGAUGCGCGAAAGCCAGGGGAGCGAACGGG
rnacentral:rRNA from 1 species